rnacentral:tRNA from 1 species
GAGGGUAUAGCUCAGUGGUAGAGCACAUGCUUAGCGUGCACGAGGUCCUGGGUUCAAUCCCCAGUACCUCUA